rnacentral:lncRNA from 1 species
UUCCAUUUGCAACACCAACGGCACCCAACAACAGUUAACCCAUCAGCAAUCUCGAAAACAUCCGAGCUCCUCUCAGAUUGCUGAGGUAGAGAGCUAUUCCGUUCUACCAGACGCCCCAACCGAGCUUCAGUCGUCUGACGCAAACUUUCUGGCAAAUGAUGACAAUGGACACCACUCCACUUUCCGUAAUAGACUCCACGUGGCUCCGAAUGGCCCACUGACACCACUGCUCUCCAUAACAAACUCCGCAUGGCCUCGAACGGCCCACUACCAGGC